rnacentral:tRNA from 1 species
UGCAUAUUAUUAUUAAUUUCAUCAGUCGUAGAAGAUUGAACACUCGUCAUUAGGUGUUUGUACAU